rnacentral:misc_RNA from 1 species
UCAAACUUGGUCAUUUAGAGGAAGUAAAAGUCGUAACAAGGUUUCCGUAGGUGAACCUGCGGAAGGAUCAUUACUGAAUUCCAUCAGGACGGAGCUGUCGCUGGCCCCUCCGCAAGGGGGGCAUGUGCACGCCUCGUUCGUCCAACCCAAUCACCCUUGUGCACCUUUCGCAGGAGAGAUGAAUGGAUGCCGGCCGUCUGGCUUCGCGUCUUUCGUUCUCGUGCGUCUUAUUUUAUAAACGCUUCAGUUUUGUAAUGUUGUUAUAUGCAUCUAUAUACAACUUUCAGCAACGGAUCUCUUGGCUCUCGCAUCGAUGAAGAACGCAGC